UUCAACUUAUGUGUACUUUUCAUUAAAAACAAAACGUGGCAAGAAAAGUUAUCACGAAAAAACGUGUUUUCUCAUUAAUAAACUCUUAUAAAAGUGUGUUUUCCUCUUCCGAUCGCUAAAUAAGCUGCGAUGGAGUGUUAGUUUUCCCUAAUUAUCGUAAAGGUGUAUUUCAAGCAUUUGUUGUUGGUAAAGUAUUGUAGAUUCUAUUUUUACAAACAUACAGAGGAAAAGAAAAAUGGAAAAAAGUCAAAAAUAUUGAGAAGGAUCUGACAAGCAGUAAGUUUUUUUAAUUCCCUGUGUUACCCUGAAUAUUUAUAUGAAAUACAAUGUUUACAUAUUUCCAGUUUAUUUGGUGUUAUUAUUUCGCAUAUGCUAUAGAAAAAUUUUUUUAUUUUAGGUUGAUGAAAAAAAGCGACAAAAAGGAAUUGACAAGAUUCCCGUUAUAAGAAGAAAAAACACAAAUAGAAGAAAAAGUUGAUGAAAAAUCGUUUCGAUACUGAAAACGCACGUGAAAAAUGCAGAGGUGAUGAAAAAUGUUUAUGAUUGGGAACAUAAAGUUAUUGUAAAUAAAUAUGUGUUAUCAAGCUAGUUGAAAAUAAUUUUAAACAUCACUUUUUGUUUUAAAGAGCCUCUUUGUUACGUCUGUUAACAUCGCAGCUAAGUCGCUGUAACGUCGGUUAACUUCGUAGUUAUACGUCUGUAAAAGGUCGACGGCAGACGUCUGUACAACGUAGCCACGACGUUGAUAGGACGUUGUGCUCUGACGUCGUACAGACGUCGAGGUCCGACGUUUGCGCGACUUUCCAUUCUGACGUUGAGCGGACGUCGCACCGACGUAAAACUCGACGUCGCUACGACGUCUCUGCGACGGUGGUGUGCUGACUGGAUUACAACUAAUAAAAAUACAGAUUGUAAAUAAUCUAUUUUCACGACCUUCUCGUAUUCUACGUUCCUUGACCAAAUCAUAGUCGGUUUGGACGCUCCUUCAACAUGGCUAGUUAACUGGCUACAUUGUCGAUAAAGAAUGAUGAUCUGAUGUCCAGUUUUAUCGAAAAUACUAAAUACUGAACGACAAAUUUAUAACAAAUGCGUCCCCUUUUUUUAGACUCGUUUCUUAAGCUUUUUGGUUACACAGUCAAUAUAGAACUC